AAAAAUAACCGAUAAGGAAACACCCCGGCCACACACAAAAGGACGGACGGCUGCGACAAGUGAAUGACUUGUUAAUAUGACAGUUCGACGAGUAAAGGAAGAAAAAAAAAGACAUCCGCGCCGUGUAGACGGUUUUCUAGUGGAGCAAACCCGUGCUCGAUUGCCGACCCGAAACCUGAAGCAGCAGCAAGUGGGCUGUACUGUGUGCUGUGCGGUGCUGCGGUGGAGCCUUUCGUGCAGUCAACAUAGUUUUUGCUCCGACAGUUGCUCGGUGGAGCGCAGCAAGUGUAGACUAUGGCGUAAGCAACAGUACCAACAUCAAUAACAUCAUCAUCGCCGUCGACAGUUUUCGUCAUCAGCCAGCAUCAUCAUCGCUAUCGACAUCAACAGCAGCAGAAGUAGAAAAAAAAGUUUUAGUGUUUGACGAUUUCGACGCGAAAAAAAUACCUGCUCGUAAAAUUUUAGCCAAAGGACUCUAUCAACUUCGAAGGAGUUAUUCCCGCGACUGACAGUAGUGUGUUAGCUUAAAGUGUGACAAACAGAUCAGGAAAUCAGUGGCACAAAGUGAGCGAGAGGCCUGUGGGAUUAAUUAGUUUUUUUGUUGUCGCCAGUCUCGGUGUUUACGACGAUUCUGCAGAACCAAAACGUGAUUAUCAAUUCUGUUUUAUCGUGUGCACCCCGUGGAAAAAUGGUGAAACUAACUGCACAUUUUUUAGACGAUAGGCGAUCUGCUCCCUCGAUUCCAGUUACGGCAUGAUCCUGUCACUAAUCCGUCCGGCAGCACUUACAGAUGCAGCACGUGUUGAGACCCGUUCCCGACUGUUUACGUUUGGCAGGCAGAUUCGUUGUCGCUGGAAAAUGUGUAGGUUUGUUCGGCUUCGCCGAAGGGUGCUAAUUUUGACACCUGGAUAGAGUCCAGUUUACGACGAAGACAUAGAUGUUGUUUCUUCGUGGGUAAUCAAAACGGUUCAUCUGACCAUCUGCUGCUAUACUGCUGCUACUGCACUCGACUCGAUUUCCGACUUCCUCCGUAGCAUCGAAAAUUACACCCUCGUAAUUGACUUUGCGCACCCACUUGAAAGCUCCUAAAUUUCCACUCUCACUAUCUCAUGCAGCUCGAGUACAAAUUAAGUCAUAAAGGGUAAUAAAGGCAAAAUUUAUUAUCAUCUCCGUUCCGUCGGCGUGGCACACAACGACGUAGCCAGAACUCUCGAAAUCGAUUCUUGCCGGUUCACCGCCACCCAGCCAGAGCGGCAGUGUUCCCGAAUAUGGUCAUAAAUAAGCGUUCGGCUGCUAACGUCGACUGCGCCGCUCUAUUGCGAUGCCGUACCCGUACCAAACCGUAGCUCACUGGCGGCCAAAAAACGCACAAUUUAUGGCUUUAACUUCAAUAAAUUUGAUACCCGGACGGUUCCCCCUUAUUCGCCUCCCGGUGCCUCCCCGGCUCGGUAACAGAGCCACUUAUUACACACACACUAUCCUUUUUUUUUUUGCUGCUGAGGAGCAGCAGCAAAAAUAAAAAACUGCUGCAACAAAGCUCACUAUUUUGGCCAACCCUUCUGGUUUUAUGUGACGCAAACGAUAAUCGUCCACAAAAGAGUACCGAUAAAAUGCGGCAUAAAUUUUCCAUCCCCCGUCCUCGUUCCAUACGUAAACAACAAUCGAUUCGAUCACAUUGCGAAUUUUGGGCAAGGAGGGCGUGUUUUCGCCAACAUACAACCGACUCUCACAUACAUGUUUAUCCA